AGACCCGAAACCCGGUGAUCUAGCCAUGGGCAGGUUGAAGGUUGGGUAACACUAACUGGAGGACCGAACCGACUAAUGUUGAAAAAUUAGCGGAUGACCUGUGGCUGGGGGUGAAAGGCCAAUCAAACCGGGAGAUAGCUGGUUCUCCCCGAAAGCUAUUUAGGUAGCGCCUCGUGAAUUCAUCUCCGGGGGUAGAGCACUGUUUCGGCUAGGGGGCCAUCCCGGCUUACCAACCCGAUGCAAACUGCGAAUACCGGAGAAUGUUAUCACGGGAGACACACGGCGGGUGCUAACGUCCGUCGUGAAGAGGGAAACAACCCAGACCGCCAGCUAAGGUCCCAAAGUCAUGGUUAAGUGGGAAACGAUGUGGGAAGGCCCAGACAGCCAGGAUGUUGGCUUAGAAGCAGCCAUCAUUUAAAGAAAGCGUAAUAGCUCACUGGUCGAGUCGGCCUGCGCGGAAGAUGUAACGGGGCUAAACCAUGCACCGAAGCUGCGGCAGCGACACUCAGGUGUUGUUGGGUAGGGGAGCGUUCUGUAAGCCUGCGAAGGUGGCCUGUGAGGGUUGCUGGAGGUAUCAGAAGUGCGAAUGCUGACAUAAGUAACGAUAAAGCGGGUGAAAAGCCCGCUCGCCGGAAG
rnacentral:rRNA from 2 species